CCUACGGGAGGCAGCAGUGGGGAAUAUUGCACAAUGGGCGCAAGCCUGAUGCAGCCAUGCCGCGUGUGUGAAGAAGGCCUUCGGGUUGUAAAGCACUUUCAGCGGGGAGGAAGGCGGUGAGGUUAAUAACCUCACCGAUUGACGUUACCCGCAGAAGAAGCACCGGCUAACUCCGUGCCAGCAGCCGCGGUAAUACGGAGGGUGCAAGCGUUAAUCGGAAUUACUGGGCGUAAAGCGCACGCAGGCGGUCUGUCAAGUCGGAUGUGAAAUCCCCGGGCUCAACCUGGGAACUGCAUUCGAAACUGGCAGGCUAGAGUCCUGUAGAGGGGGGUAGAAUUCCAGGUGUAGCGGUGAAAUGCGUAGAGAUCUGGAGGAAUACCGGUGGCGAAGGCGGCCCCCUGGACAAAGACUGACGCUCAGGUGCGAAAGCGUGGGGAGCAAACAGGAUUAGAUACCCUUGUAGUC
rnacentral:rRNA from 1 species